AAAGUCGUAACAAGGUUUCCGUAGGUGAACCUGCGGAAGGAUCAUUACAGAAGGUAACCUUUUUGGUUCACUCUUCAUAUCCCUUUGUCUACCUACUCUGUUGCUUCCAUGGUGCCAGCCAGCUUGGCUCCGGACGGGUGCUUAACCGCCUCUGUUUGGAAGUGCCCAUGGGUGGUCCCUUGUCCGGUGACUUCUGUUGCCUGGGUUGGGGAUCUUAACUUUAAAACCCUUUUGUGAUAAAUUUGUCUGAGUAAAACAAAAUAAAAAUAAAACUUUCAACAACGGAUCUCUAGGCUCUU
rnacentral:misc_RNA from 1 species